UACGGAGGGGGCUAGCGUUGUUCGGAAUUACUGGGCGUAAAGGGCGCGCAGGCGGUCUUGAAAGUCAGGCGUGAAAGCCCCGGGCUUAACCUGGGAAUUGCGCUUGAUACUCUGAGACUGGAGUACGGGAGAGGAGAGUGGAAUUCCCAGUGUAGAGGUGAAAUUCGUAGAUAUUGGGAAGAACACCAGUGGCGAAGGCGGCUCUCUGGACCGUAACUGACGCUGAGGCGCGAAAGCGUGGGGAGCAAACAGG
rnacentral:rRNA from 1 species